UACAGAGGGUGCGAGCGUUACUCGGACUUACUGGGCGUAAAGCGCGCGUAGGCGGCUUUGCAAGUCGGGUGUGAAAUCCCCAGGCUUAACCUGGGAACUGCAUUCGAGACUGCAUUGCUAGAGUAUGGGAGAGGGAAGUGGAAUUUCCGGUGUAGCGGUGAAAUGCGUAGAUAUCGGAAGGAACAUCAGUGGCGAAAGCGACUUCCUGGACCAAUACUGACGCUCAUGUGCGAAAGCGUGGGGAGCAAACGGG
rnacentral:rRNA from 1 species